GUCGCCAGGAACCACCGGAAGGAGACUAGGCCUGGCUCACCCAGCCACGGCUGCCCUCACGGAAGCUAGGCCCCCACCUUCUGCACUCGAAGUGCCGGAGUGGGGAUCAGCUUUGACAGGUCUUCUGGGAUCUGUAGGAACCCCAGCAGCUCUGGCUCAUCUCGACCCACUUGUCCUCUCCCCGCCCCGGAUGGUUCCUUAUGAAAACUCAAGGACUCAGCCUGCUCUGAUGGGCCUCUGCCUCAAAGCUCUGUUGACCUCUGUGGUCUUGAUUCUCCUACUCUCCUCUGGGAGGGGUGGGAGCUGCGGAGGGCUGUCUGCUGGGGGGGCUUCUGGCCACAUCUUGCUGCCGCCUCUUCUCAGAUGCUUACUGGCAGCCCGUGAGUCAUGUGGCCACAAAGAGUCAAGCCCCAGGAGCCCCCAGCAUCCUGCCUGCGUCUGCAGCCAAGCCCCAGACCCUGCACAACCUGUGCCUGGGGGCUUCAAUGUGGACUGGAUAUUGGGCUAGAUGGACCUUUGGUUUGACCCAGUAUGGCCGCUGUUAUGUUCUUAACCCUGAGGUCUGUGAUAGGACAAAAAGAUAUAAGAAGAGGGGGCA